CGAGCGAGCGGAACCACAGAUUUACUUCGGUAAUGACGUUGGGAAAGCGAGCGGCGGAUGGGUGAGUAACACGUGGGGAACCUGCCCCUAAGUCUGGGAUACCAUUUGGAAACAGGUGCUAAUACCGGAUAAUAAAGCGGAUCGCAUGAUCAGCUUUUGAAAGGCGGCGUAAGCUGUCGCUAAGGGAUGGCCCCGCGGUGCAUUAGCUAGUUGGUAAGGUAACGGCUUACCAAGGCGACGAUGCAUAGCCGAGUUGAGAGACUGAUCGGCCACAUUGGGACUGAGACACGGCCCAAACUCCUACGGGAGGCAGCAGUAGGGAAUCCUCCACAAUGGACGCAAGUCUGAUGGAGCAACGCCGCGUGAGUGAAGAAGGUUUUCGGAUCGUAAAGCUCUGUUGUUGGUGAAGAAGGAUAGAGGUAGUAACUGGCCUUUAUUUGACGGUAAUCAACCAGAAAGUCACGGCUAACUACGUGCCAGCAGCCGCGGUAAUACGUAGGUGGCAAGCGUUGUCCGGAUUUAUUGGGCGUAAAGCGAGCGCAGGCGGAAAAAUAAGUCUAAUGUGAAAGCCCUCGGCUUAACCGAGGAACUGCAUCGGAAACUGUUUUUCUUGAGUGCAGAAGAGGAGAGUGGAACUCCAUGUGUAGCGGUGGAAUGCGUAGAUAUAUGGAAGAACACCAGUGGCGAAGGCGGCUCUCUGGUCUGCAACUGACGCUGAGGCUCGAAAGCAUGGGUAGCGAACAGGAUUAGAUACCCUGGUAGUCCAUGCCGUAAACGAUGAGUGCUAAGUGUUGGGAGGUUUCCGCCUCUCAGUGCUGCAGCUAACGCAUUAAGCACUCCGCCUGGGGAGUACGACCGCAAGGUUGAAACUCAA
rnacentral:rRNA from 1 species